CAUGCAAGUCGAGCGGUCAAAAUGAGGGGGCUUGCCCCUGAAAGACGAGCGGCGGACGGGUGAGUAAUGCGCGGGAACGCGCCCUUUGGAGGGGGACAACCUUGGGAAACCAGGGCUAAUACCGCAUAACCUCCACGGAGCAAAGCGGGGGAUUUCUUCGGAAACCUCGCGCCAAAGGAGCGGCCCGCGUCCGAUUAGUUUGACGGCGGGGUAACAGCCCACCGUGACUACCAUCGGUAGCUGGUCUGAGAGGAUGAUCAGCCACACCGGGACUGAGACACGGCCCGGACUCCUACGGGAGGCAGCAGUGGGGAAUAUUGGACAAUGGGGGCAACCCUGAUCCAGCGAUGCCGCGUGUGUGAAGAAGGCCUUCGGGUUGUAAAGCACUUUCGCAGGGGAAGAAACGGUGCGCUCUAACAUAGCGCGCAACUGACGGUACCCUGAAAAGAAGCGCCGGCUAAUUCCGUGCCAGCAGCCGCGGUAAUACGGAAGGCGCAAGCGUUAAUCGGAAUGACUGGGCGUAAAGCGUGCGCAGGCGGCCGCGCAAGUCGGAUGUGAAAGCCCCGGGCUCAACCCGGGAAUGGCGUUCGGAACUGCGCG
rnacentral:rRNA from 1 species